CACAGGAGAGAGUAUACAGGUAAAAUUAUUAUUUUUUUGUUUACUAACAUUUGAUUCACUAGUGAAUCAUGAUUAUUUGAAAUUUGAACAAAAAUACAGACUACAGUCGUACAGAGUUGUAUUCAAACAUUUUAGUAAAAAAUUACCAUGCAUAAGUGUAUUCUUUUUAGUAUAACAUCCAAACUAUCUCAUUGUCCAAUUGCCUUCAUUUUCAUUUUUAGUUGUACUGAUUAUAUUUCUUAAUAAUAUGGGUCUAAUAUAGUCUAAUUUGCUAAUUUUUUCAAAAAUAUAGUUUCCAAAAAUGGAAAUAGAAGGAAAUAAAAUCUUCGAACUAAACGAUUACAAAUUUUCUAUCUGGAGCAGAAUAUGCGGUAAUCAUUUUACAAUCAGUGAUUAUAAACAAGGCACAGUAAAUAGUUGAUAUUAUGGUCAGAGGCUGUCACAAAACAUAAUCCAAACCACAUGUCUGGGAUAGAGAAUUUCAAUAAUUUACAGCAACACUGCUACUACUCUGAAAUAUUGUGUAUCUCCAACGAUGAGGUUGAAGAAAAUGAACAGACAAAUAAAGGAUUUCGAGGCCUUACAACCUGAUGAUUUUAAUUCAUCCAGAAAAGCCUUAGACGCUUAAUAAUGUCUAUACACACUUAUAGUUUACACACAUAUUUUGCCUGUGUCUUAUUCUAAACAAUUGGAUCACAAGCAACCUCAAGCUGUUAUCACAUAUAUCUUUGGUGAAAUCGUAACUAUUGUAAAGAUUUUUUGAUUAAUGCUUCACCUGUCAGAAUGAUUGGCAUGAACAUGAGCUCUAUUAAGCUUUUGUUGUCUCCAGAAAUGAACAAUGUUGGCGAGGAUGGAGCGUGAUGUUGCCGGUCGUUAGCUGACAAACAAUUGCACAAAUGCUCGAGACGUACAUGAUGGCCAGAAUAUUGUAUAUCUCCAACGACGAGGUUGAAGAACAUGAACAGACGAAUAAAGGAUUUGGAGACGUUAUAGUUGAUGAAUUUAAUUUACCCAGAAAAUCCUUAGAAACUUAAUAAUGUCUUAUUCACAUACACUUAUUUCAUAUAAUGGAUAAUACUUAUAUUUUCAAAACUGAAAUAUAUGAUGUACCUCAUACAAGUAGCUAGGAAGUCGAUCAAAUAUGCUGACAAUUUUUCAGACACUGACUUUUAUGAAGAUAAUUCUACCGACUUAGAUGAAGCCAUACAAUAUUGGAGCGAAUUAUGAAACUUAAGGAAAAUUGUGUUUCUUCAACGAUGAGUUAGAAGAAAAUGAACAGACGAAUAAAGGAUAUGGAGACCUUACAGUUGAUGAUUCAACCAGAAAAUCCUUAGAAACCUAAUAAUGUCUAAUUCACAUACACUUAGAUUUCCAAAUAACGAAAAUAGAAGGAAAUAAUGGCGGUAAUCACUUCUACAGCAACACUGGUAGUACUGCUCUGAGCACGACUAGUAAAUCUUAUCUAAGAAAAUAUUGUGUUUUUCCGACGAUGAGUUAGAAGAAAAUGAACAGACGAAUAAAGGAUAUGGAGACCUUACAGUUGAAAAUUUUUUCAUGCACCCAGAAAAGCCUUAGAUAAUGUCUAAUUCACACACAUAUAUAAUGGUUGGCAUGAGCUGUGAAAAGAAAUAUUAUAUUGAAGAUGUAGCUGAUACGCUGUUAAUAAAUUUGGAGUGUCCUACAUAUGCAUACAUACAAAGUUUACUGGUCGUCAAACCCGUUCCCAUUCAUGGAAUUUACUUCUCAACAAGAAAAUACAAACUUCUUUGGAAGAAGGCUAAGCAAACACCAAUUACCUUCAAUUGCACUCUGAAUCAUCUUUUUGAAUAAAACUAUAU